rnacentral:rRNA from 1 species
GUGAACGCUGGCGGUAGGCCUAACCCCUGCAAGUCGAACGGCAGCACCGUAAGAGCUUGCUCUUACGGGUGGCGAGUGGCGGACGGGUGAGGAAUACAUCGGAAUCUACUUUUUCGUGGGGGAUAACGUAGGGAAACUUACGCUAAUACCGCAUACGACCUACGGGUGAAAGCAGGGGAUCUUCGGACCUUGCGCGAUUGAAUGAGCCGAUGUCGGAUUAGCUAGUUGGCGGGGUAAAGGCCCACCAAGGCGACGAUCCGUAGCUGGUCUGAGAGGAUGAUCAGCCACACUGGAACUGAGACACGGUCCAGACUCCUACGGGAGGCAGCAGUGGGGAAUAUUGGACAAUGGGCGCAAGCCUGAUCCAGCCAUACCGCGUGUGUGAAGAAGGCCUUCGGGUUGUAAAGCCCUUUUGUUGGGAAAGAAAAGCAGCAGGUUAAUACCCCGCUGUUCUGACGGUACCCAAAGAAUAAGCACCGGCUAACUUCGUG